CCUACGGGUGGCUGCAGUGAGGAAUAUUGGUCAAUGGGAGGAAUCCUGAACCAGCCAUGCCGCGUGCAGGACGACGGCUCUACGAGUUGUAAACUGCUUUUGUACCGGGGUAAAAUGCCUUACGUGUAGGGUGUUGAAAGUACGGUACGAAUAAGGAUCGGCUAACUCCGAGUCAGCAGCCGCGGUAAUACGGAGGAACCGAGGGUUAUCCGGGUUCAUUGGGUUUAAAGGGUGCGUAGGUUGUUUUAUAAGUUAGCGGUGAAAUACCGAUGCUCAACAUCGGGGCUGCCGCUAAUACUGUAGGACUAGAGAUCGGAUGCAGCAGGCGGAAUGUGUAGUGUAGCGGUGAAAUGCAUAGAUAUUACACAGAACACCGAUUGCGAAGGCAGCUUUCUAGGCCGGAUCUGACACUGAUGCACGAAAGCGUGGGGAUCGAACAGGAUUAGAUACCCGUGUAGUC
rnacentral:rRNA from 1 species